UCUUUCUCCCCCUCUCCCUUUGCCUCCCCCUCUUCUCCGCAGCGGAGCUUGCUCCAGACCCUGGCGUUGUGUACCUCUUUCGUUUUUCCAACCACGGAAAUCGGUGAACCGAUCGGUGCGCUUUGAUUUUUGGUAUGGGGAUAGGUUGCGUUUAUCUGUAGUUUUGCCGCAGAUCUAGCAUACGUGAACCAGGAAACCACAGACAACUUAGACAAAAGAAACCUCGCGGUGUGAAUCUAGAUACGCGGACCCGUAUUCUUUCUGCUACUGUCGUUUGUCUUCGAACCAAACCGACCCUUCCUCGCGCAAUAAUUUCCUCCUGUUUGGAGAGGAAGGGUGUUAGCUUUUAAAGUGAAAUCUCACCAGUUCGUAUACUUUGUGGUUCGUAACGUGUUGCUCUAGCUUAUCACCCACUUUAUCAAAUUACUGAUAUCUAAAACAAAAGGACAAUCUGUAAAGUGCUGCGGUCAAUAGCGUCUCUGUGCAAUGCCCCAGUUGUUAAAUUGGAGCCCAGAUGGGGAAUAAACAAAACCGUAAUCUAUAGCACGUACUUUUAAGGAAGCAGAUCGCACGUUUAUUUAAAAUAACGCAUAGGGCAGAUUCUUCUCACGGAUUUCUCAUCUCAAAAGUACGAUAUAGCCACAGUUUCUUUGUCCCUUCUGUUUUAAACUGUAAGCCACAACGAAAAACCCUUAGCACUAGCUUUGACUGAAGCGGAAGAGGACUGUUUCGAGACGGGAUUCUGGAUUUACCCGCUGGUGGAGACAGACUGUGCGUGCGUUAGUGAGCAGAGCAGAGUAGAGGAGCGCUCACUGAGACCACCUCCCGCCGGCUUGCUGCCAUGCACCUAACCGUCUGACUGUCUCGGCAUCCGGGCAGGUCAUGUGACUGCAGAUAGGGUGUGGUCUCUUGCAUUCCAGCCUUCUCCUUCUGCCACUUCACGGACCAAGGGGAGUGAGAGAAAAAGAGAGGAUGGGGGACAGAAGGAAAGUGUGUGUGUGACAGGGUCCUUUCAUUGGUACUUAGUAGCAACUACAUGACUA
ensembl:lncRNA